rnacentral:rRNA from 1 species
GAUGAACGCUGGCGGCGUGCCUAAUACAUGCAAGUCGAGCGAACAGAUAAGGAGCUUGCUCCUUUGACGUUAGCGGCGGACGGGUGAGUAACACGUGGGUAACCUACCUAUAAGACUGGGAUAACUUCGGGAAACCGGAGCUAAUACCGGAUAACAUUUGGAACCGCAUGGUUCUAAAGUGAAAGAUGGUUUUGCUAUCACUUAUAGAUGGACCCGCGCCGUAUUAGCUAGUUGGUAAGGUAACGGCUUACCAAGGCAACGAUACGUAGCCGACCUGAGAGGGUGAUCGGCCACACUGGAACUGAGACACGGUCCAGACUCCUACGGGAGGCAGCAGUAGGGAAUCUUCCGCAAUGGGCGAAAGCCUGACGGAGCAACGCCGCGUGAGUGAUGAAGGGUUUCGGCUCGUAAAACUCUGUUAUUAGGGAAGAACAAACGUGUAAGUAACUGUGCACGUCUUGACGGUACCUAACCAGAAAGCCACGGCUAACUACGUG